rnacentral:rRNA from 1 species
GAUGAACGCUGGCGGCGUGCCUAAUACAUGCAAGUCGAGCGAACGGACGAGAAGCUUGCUUCUCUGAUGUUAGCGGCGGACGGGUGAGUAACACGUGGAUAACCUACCUAUAAGACUGGGAUAACUUCGGGAAACCGGAGCUAAUACCGGAUAAUAUUUUGAACCGCAUGGUUCAAAAGUGAAAGACGGUCUUGCUGUCACUUAUAGAUGGAUCCGCGCUGCAUUAGCUAGUUGGUAAGGUAACGGCUUACCAAGGCAACGAUGCAUAGCCGACCUGAGGGGGUGAUCGGCCACACUGGAACUGAGACACGGUCCAGACUCCUACGGGAGGCAGCAGUAGGGAAUCUUCCGCAAUGGGCGAAAGCCUGACGGAGCAACGCCGCGUGAGCGAUGAAGGUCUUCGGAUCGUAAAACUCUGUUAUUAGGGAAGAACAUAUGUGUAAGUAACUGUGCACAUCUUGACGGUACCUAAUCAGAAAGCCACGGCUAACUACGU